ensembl:lncRNA
CUCUCAGUCCGGCUCGCGCUUUUGGAAUAAUAGUAAUAAAAUUUAAAAAAUAAAGCGGAAAAAAGCCCCGCGGAGCCCUGCACGGGUCCCUGCCGCUGGGGUGGGGGAGGGCGCGCAGGGAGAACUCAGUGUCUCAGCCCGCGACGAGCCCCGGCCCCAGCGCUCCGGGGGUGCGACCUUGUUGCUGCUAUUUUCCUAAAUCCUCCCCCGGCCGCGCUCGGCGCCCCCCUCCCUCCCUCGUUCCCUCCCUCCCUCUCCGCCCGCUCGCCCCCGGCCGCCUCUGUCCCUUGCUCGCCCCGCCGCUGCCCGGGGAGGGCGGCAAGUCCCUGUUCAGGCUGGCCGCGGGGGCCGGGGGGCGGCCGGCCGGACGCGGUGCGGGAGCGGAGCUGGAGCUGGGCUGGCGGGCGGGUGGGCUCCCCGCGGCCGGCCGCGCUCGCUGCCGCCUUCCCCUGCACGCACGCACUUCGCGGAACAAGGAACAGGCAUUUGUGACACUUCAUGUUCCACACCCCGACCAGUGUGUGAGGAACAAUGUCUCCAGGCACUUUCUGCCCUGCACGGGUGGGUCCAUGCCACCAGAAGAACUCAGAGGAUUGUACAUCCAGACAUAGGAAGAGAAGUUGUCUUCAGUGGAAGAAGGAAUAAGGGUGAAGGUCCUCAAGAUCCUGUGAAAUAGUCCUGGCAGAAGCACCCGGCUGCACACCUGGAGCAGGCCAUGGGCAGCAGGAAGAGUGUAGCACCCUGACCAGGCACCUGCACUCCAGUCAAGCACAGGGAUGUCGGAUGCAGCAUGCAGGGGCCUGUGUGGGGGCUCUGUUUUCCUGAUAACAAACUUCACUUGGAACCAUCUUCCUCUUUUUUUCCCCACACACAUCAAAAGAAACCAAACCAACUCAGAAAUCUGAGUUUGUCAUUUGAUCAAGUGAAUUCAGCAUAGAACUGUAACACAGCAUUGCUUUGAAUGGAUGUUUAGUUGUGAUUUUCUGGCUUCUUAAGGUUUGACAGAAACUAUUGGUUUUAUUAAUGUUGUAAUAAAGGUUUAUUGUUCCAUCCUACUGUAUGACUGCAGAUUGCCACCACAGACUGGACAUACAGUAAAAAAUGUUUCUUAUAACGGCACUAUAAUCAAGAUAUACUUCCUCUACAUCACUGCACUAAGUAUCAAAUUGGGGGUUCAGAAAGGCUAACUUGGGAUAAGGAUACAUGGCUAAAGAGCCCGUGGCCCUAGUUCUGAUCCCAAUAAAAAAUAGAUAUAGCUCCCAUCAACAGAGAUUCAUGGCCUCAAAACCCAAUGUGAUAUACCAGUUUCUAGAAUAAAAUAAGUAGGGUGAAAAGGGGGAAAAAAAACCCAGAAUCAUGGUUGAUUUGGGCAGCAUGACCCUAGAUUCAUAUCCGUUCAGCAUCAGAGCUGGAUCAGGAACUGAAUUACUUCUGUAUCCUCGUCUUAUUGGAGAGGCUUAAUCCCCAGGCUAUCAAAUUGUUUCUGUUCUCUCACUGGCCCAAUGAAUAUUUAAUUAUUCUUACAAAGCAGAACAGCUUCAGCAGGACAGAUUCUCAUCCCAGAAUGUGCCAGCGGUUGGGCACUCUCAGAGGAGUUCAGAGACCCAAAUUCAAAUCCCGAUGCAAUCAGGCAAAGAGGGGAUUUCAGCUUUAGCUUUAUACAUUCCACUAGGCAAGUAAUUCCCAAGCCCUGUUGUCACCCCCAACCCCUUUGCCAUCCAGCCCUCUGCCCACACUUCUAUACUCUUUCAAGGCUACAACUAAAAUGAUC